rnacentral:lncRNA from 1 species
CUUCCUUCCUUUCAUCUCUCUGUUCUGUCUUACAUCAUCUCACUCCCUUCUCUCUCUCUCUCUCUGUCUCUCUCUCUCUCUCUCUCUCUCUUUGAAAUAUGCAAUACUUUAACAACUUACUGGUUUUGACUGUUAGGUUUCUAUUUACAUUUAGCAAUUACCAAUAUAUUUAGUGAAACAAAUAUAUGCUUUGGAUCAUAUAAAUAGAACCCUCGGUUAUUCUUGUAGCUUUCCUGUUACUAUUCAUGUGAUCUUGGACAAGUUUACGCAGUUUUUAUUUAACCUUUUUCCAGUUUGCCCUGAGAAUACUUGCCAGCAGUGCUCGUGGCUGCAGCAUUUACCCCAAGCAGAACUAUAUUUCUUUGGCCAGAAGACUUCCUUUAAACGUCUCCCUCUUUCACCUCCACUGGAGUGUAGUGGUAUAGCUACAGCUCACUGCAGCCUUGACUUCCUGGCCUCAAGCCUUCCUCUUACCUCAGCCUCUAGAGCAGGCUCAUGAUCAUAUUUCGGUAAUUGGAACACAGCCAUUCCAAGGCUUUUAGCAGUUUCUUGUACAUUAAUCAUCUUGUUCCUGUCUAGACACUAGCUAUGAAUGUGAAGAAGCCAUUCUGGACAUUCCAGACCCAGCAGAUGCCACAUGGAACAGUACUGAGGUCCAAAACACAUGGUUUUCCACCAUAUCCUGACAAUUGAACUACCCUGGCUGAAGCCCAGACAUCAUGGCACAAAGACAAGCUGUCAUCACUGAACCCUGACAAAGUUCUUGACCCACAGAAUUGUAAGCCUAAUAAAAGUGGAUUUUUAAAAAAAU